AAAAAAUAUUAUAACCUCAAAAUGUCAAAAACAUUCCCAAGAACAUUUUUAUCGUUAAAUAGAUACUUUUCAACUAAAAAAAGUUAUAAACGAUUACAAAAUGAGUUAAAAACACUUCCUAUUUUCGAUUACGAUUCAUCAGGAAAAGAUAGGAACCGAGUUUUCGUGUGGGGAAAUGUAAAAAGCGGUGCUUUAGGAGUGAAAUAUACGAAACAAAAAAAUUUAAUUGAUACAAUUAGGGUACCGAAACGUCUUGGUUUUGCUGAAAGACACAAUGUUAUUUCAGUUACCUCAGGAUUUGGAUUUACAAUAUACGCUGUUGAUUCAAAAGAUAACUUAAAAAUUUAUGGAAAUGGUUUAAACACCGAUUCGCAACUCGGUUUACAUUUAAACGAACAAAAAAAUCCUUUGGAGGUUAUUUUUUUCCCUCAACCUAUAUCCUUACCAAUUAAAAACGACACAAAGAUUUUAAAAAUUUCUGCUGGUAGAGGUCACGUCGCUGUUUUAACCAAUGAGGGUUUAUUUUUAUUUGGAAAUAAUUCUUAUGGACAAUGUGGAAGAAAAAUUAUUGAAAACGAAGAUUACUUUAAUAGCCAACAUAUUAAUAGGAUCAAUAAAAUAAACAAUGAAAGAAUUAAAGAUGUUUAUUGUGGCCAAGAUCACACAAUUAUUUUAAGCGAAACAGGAAAAGUUUAUUCAUGCGGUUGGGGAGCUGAUGGCCAAACUGGAUUGGGGCAUUACAAUAUCACCUAUAAUUUCACACAAGUCAAUGGAGAUAUAAAAAAUGAAUAUAUAACAAAAAUUUCUUGUCGAUCUGAUUUUGUAAUGGCUCUAAACGAAAAGGGGGACGUUUUCGGGUGGGGAAACACCGAAUAUGGACAAUUAAUUACUCCGGGGAAUGAGCAGCAAGUUGCAAAUCCAACGUAUAUUGUUUCAACAAAAAAUUUAGGAAAAAUUAAAGAUGUUGCAACGAGUGGGACAUCUUGUAUGAUUUUAAAUGAUUCUGGGGAUGUUUUUGUUUGGGGUUAUGGCAUUUUGGGCACGGGGCCUUUGGUGCAACAUUCUGAGGUUCCCCUUUUAAUACCACAGACGUUGUUUGGUAGGAAUGAUUUUAAUCCGACCACGGAAGUGAUUAAAAUUGAGUGUGGGUUAAGUCACUCGGGUGUUAUUACGAAUUCGGGGGAUUUGUACGUUUGGGGGAGAAACAGGGAAGGUUGUUUGGGGUUGGGCCAUUUAGAUGAUCAAUAUUUUCCGUUAAAGGUUGCCUUAGGAGGGGAAGUUAAAUCAGUUUCUUGUGGAUUGGAUCACACUGUAGCCCUUUGUGAAUCAUUUUUGAGCAACAAAUCUUAACAGGUUUAAUAAGCGAUGUUUCUAUCCAACAAGAAAAAGAUGUAUUAUUUCUCAUCGGAACAUCGGAGAUCACAAAAAUCGUUGAAAUUUAUGGAAUCAUCAAGGAGGAGAAUUAAUCUUGGAGAGGAUCCCCUUCCGCCGUCUCAGAAACGAAAAUCCCUUCCAAACAAUAAUCCAAAAAUUUUCCUUUUUCU